rnacentral:tRNA from 1 species
AGUUCCCACUUGGAUUAAACACCAAACCCUGUGGUCCGAAAAACCACCGUUGUAGCUCAACUAUAAGAACCU